rnacentral:rRNA from 1 species
UACGAAGGGGGCUAGCGUUGUUCGGAAUCACUGGGCGUAGAGGGUGCGUAGGCGGGAUCUUAAGUCAGGGGUGAAAUCCCGAGGCUCAACCUCGGAACUGCCUUUGAUACUGGGGUCCUUGAGUCAGGAAGAGGUGAGUGGAACUGCGAGUGUAGAGGUGAAAUUCGUAGAUAUUCGCAAGAACACCGGUGGCGAAGGCGGCUCACUGGUCCGGAACUGACGCUGAGGCACGACAGCGUGGGGAGCAAACAGG